CUGCACCCAGUGCUUUAAAGAAACCAAAGGUAGAGUUAGUCGAGGAAGCUGUAGAGAAGUCUGAACUGAAAAAAGAAAAGAAGAAGAAAAAGAAGAAAGAAGCUGAUGAAGCUGGAUCCCCUGAUGUAGAGUCCUUGAAAAAGGAAAAGAAAAAGAAGGACAAAGAGAAUAAUGAUGCUGCAUCCUCAGAUGAGGAGAAGUCCGAGAAGAAGAAAAAGAAGAAGAAGAAAGAUAAAGAAUCAGAGAAUGGUGAUGUUGGAAGUGACGAUGAAGGAAGUAAAAGCAAGAAGAAGGAGAAGAAGAAAAAGAAGAAUAAAGAUGCACAAGAGGAGUAGAGGUGAAGGUCUUCGCCUCAAAUGAGUGCUCCUAUGUAUGUUAAAAUGCAUGUCAUGUAGUUGUUCAAAAUUUUGCCGGUUUAUUCACUUGUUUUGGC
rnacentral:lncRNA from 1 species